rnacentral:rRNA from 1 species
GCUCAGAACUUAAAGGAAUUGACGGGGCCGCACAAGCGGAGGAGCAUGUGGUUUAAUUCGAUGAUACGCGAGGAACCUUACCUGGGCUCGAACGUAAGAUGACUGUAGGUGAAAGCUUACAUCUCUUCGGAGCAUUUUACGAGGUGCUGCAUGGUUGUCGUCAGCUCGUGCCGUGAGGUGUCGGGUUAAGUCCCAUAACGAGCGCAACCCCUACCUUUAGUUGCCAUCAGGUUAAGCUGGGGACUCUAAAGGAACUGCCUACGCAAGUAGUGAGGAAGGCGGGGAUGACGUCAAAUCAGCACGGCCCUUACGUCCAGGGCUACACACGUGCUACAAUGGCCGAUACAGAGGGCAGCUACCUGGUGACAGGAUGCAAAUCUCCAAAGUCGGUCUCAGUUCGGAUCGGAGUCUGCAACCCGACUCCGUGAAGUUGGAUUCGCUAGUAAUCGCGCAUCAGCCAUGGCGCGGUGAAUACGUUCCCGGGCCUU